UUUUGAAGAAGCUAAGGAGUGUUGCUCGUGGGAGAUAUUGUUGUUAACGAUGAUGAUGAGCUAUGAAGAUGCUGAUCAAGGUGGUGUGGACGACGGCAUGAUUGGUGAUCAACCUUUGUCUUAGGAAGAAGAAGAAAUCGAUGUUUUGUUUUUUUUUUUUGUUUUUUUUUUAUAAUAAAUAAAGCAUUAUUGAAAGAAAAAUAUUAAGAAGCUGCUUAAGAAAAGAAAAUGUGAAUAGCCAGUUUUUU
rnacentral:lncRNA from 1 species